rnacentral:rRNA from 1 species
CCAGACUCCUACGGGAGGCAGCAGUGGGGGAUAUUGCACAAUGGGGGGAACCCUGAUGCAGCGACGCCGCGUGGGUGAAGAAGUAUUUCGGUAUGUAAAGCCCUAUCGGCAGGGAAGAAAUUGGACGGUACCUGACUAAGAAGCCCCGGCUAACUACGUGCCAGCAGCCGCGGUAAUACGUAGGGGGCAAGCGUUAUCCGGAUUCACUGGGUGUAAAGGGAGCGUAGACGGCCAUGCAAGCCUGGAGUGAAAGCCCGGGGCCCAACCCCGGGACUGCUCUGGGAACUGUGCGGCUGGAGUGCGGGAGGGGCAGGCGGAAUUCCUGGUGUAGCGGUGAAAUGCGUAGAUAUACGGAGGAACACCAGUGGCGAAGGCGGAUUGCUGGACAGUAACUGACGCUGAGGCGCGAAAGCGUGGGGAGCAAACAGGAUUAGAUACCCUAGUAA